rnacentral:rRNA from 1 species
AUACGUAGGUGGCAAGCGUUGUCCGGAAUCAUUGGGCGUAAAGAGCGCGUAGGUGGCUUGUCAGGUCUGGUGUGAAAUUUCGGGGCUCAACCCCGAACCUGCAUCGGAAACCGGCUUGCUAGAGUCUGGGAGAGGAGAGUGGAAUUCCUGGUGUAGCGGUGAAAUGCGUAGAUAUCAGGAGGAACACCGGUAGCGAAGGCGGCUCUCUGGAACAGUACUGACGCUGAGGCGCGAAAGCUAGGGGAGC